GAUUCUCAGUGACAACGAAUUGACUGAAUUACAUAAGGAUUCAUUUGAAGGCCUACUAUCUCUCCAGUAUUUAGAUUUAUCCUGCAAUAAAAUACAGUCGAUUGAGAGAGGUACAUUUGAGGCACUACCGUUUUUGAAGUUUCUAAAUCUUGGUUGUAAUUUAAUCACAGAACUGAGCUUCGGAACAUUUCAGGCCUGGCAUGGGAUGCAGUUUUUACA